rfam:Alkaliphilus metalliredigens QYMF, complete genome.
UACCACAUCCAUCCCGUGGUAUUCCUACCGAUAAAUGCCUAGUAAGUAAUGAAUGGUGUAAAGCAAUCGGGACAAUGCGAAAACAAUAGUAGUCACAACUAUUCUAUUGC